rnacentral:rRNA from 1 species
GAUGAACGCUAGCGGAAGGCUUAAUACAUGCAAGUCGAGCGGUAGGUGGCUUCGGCCAUUGAGAGCGGCGCACGGGUGAGUAACGCGUACAUGACCUGCCUGUCAGAAGGGGAUAGCCCUGGGAAACUGGGAUUAAUACCCUAUGGUAUUGAUAUUAUGAAUGAUAUCAAUUAAAGUUGAGGCGCUGACAGAUGGAUGUGCGUCUGAUUAGCUAGUUGGUAGGGUAACGGCCUACCAAGGCGACGAUCAGUAGGGGGCGUGAGAGCGUGGUCCCCCACACGGGUACUGAGACACGGACCCGACUCCUACGGGAGGCAGCAGUAAGGAAUAUUGGUCAAUGCCCGCAAGGGUGAACCAGCCAUUCCGCGUGGAGGAUGAAGGCUCUAUGGGUUGUAAACUUCUUUUAGAUGGGAAGAAAUGCUAGAUGUAUCUGGUACUGACGGUACCAUCAGAAUAAGCACCGGCUAACUCCGUGCCAGCAGCCGCGGUAAU